rnacentral:lncRNA from 1 species
CUCACCAACACUCUUUUUCUCUGAAGGCAAUUUUAUCAACUGCGGAUGGAUGAAGGACAGAGCGUGCAGAAGUAUCUUAGCCACUUCCAGAAGAUCCUCACCGACCUCCUUAGUGUUGGUGAAAAUAUUUAGGAGAAGACUAGGAUGCUAGUUUUGCUAGAAUCGCUUCCACCUUCGUACGAGUCCUUGAUGACUGCUUUUCUAGUGGAGAAAAGUACUAUC